rnacentral:rRNA from 1 species
AGCGAACGCUGGCGGCAGGCUUAACACAUGCAAGUCGAGCGCCCGUGGCAACACGGGAGCGGCAGACGGGUGAGUAACACGUGGGAACGUGCCCUUCGGUUCGGAAUAACUCAGGGCAACUUGGAUUAAUACCGGAUACGUCCGCAAGGAGAAAGAUUUAUCGCCGAAGGAGCGGCCCGCGUCUGAUUAGCUUGUUGGUGAGGUAACGGCUCACCAAGGCGACGAUCAGUAGCUGGUCUGAGAGGAUGAUCAGCCACACUGGGACUGAGACACGGCCCAGACUCCUACGGGAGGCAGCAGUGGGGAAUAUUGGACAAUGGGCGCAAGCCUGAUCCAGCCAUGCCGCGUGAGUGAUGAAGGCCCUAGGGUUGUAAAGCUCUUUCGGCGGGGAAGAUAAUGACGGUACCCGCAGAAGAAGCCCCGGCCAACUUCGUGCCAGCCGCCGCGGUAAGAC